rnacentral:rRNA from 1 species
CCCAGACUCCUACGGGAGGCAGCAGUGGGGAAUAUUGCACAAUGGGGGAAACCCUGAUGCAGCGACGCCGCGUGAGCGAUGAAGUAUUUCGGUAUGUAAAGCUCUAUCAGCAGGGAAGAAAAUGACGGUACCUGACUAAGAAGCCCCGGCUAACUACGUGCCAGCAGCCGCGGUAAUACGUAGGGGGCAAGCGUUAUCCGGAUUUACUGGGUGUAAAGGGAGCGUAGACGGCAAUGCAAGCCAGAUGUGAAAGCCCGGGGCCCAACCCCGGGACUGCUCUGGAAACUGCGUCGCUGGAGUACGGGAGGGGCAGGCGGAAUUCCUAGUGUAGCGGUGAAAUGCGUAGAUAUUAGGAGGAACACCAGUGGCGAAGGCGGCCUGCUGGACGACAACUGACGGUGAGGCGCGAAAGCGUGGGGAGCAAACAGGAUUAGAUACCCGCGUAUA